rnacentral:rRNA from 1 species
GAUGAACGCUGGCGGCGUGCUUAACACAUGCAAGUCGAACGGAAAGGCCCAAGCUUGCUUGGGUACUCGAGUGGCGAACGGGUGAGUAACACGUGGGUGAUCUGCCCUGCACUUCGGGAUAAGCCUGGGAAGCUGGGUCUAAUAUCGUAUAGGACGAUGGUUUGGAUUCCAUUGUGGAAAGUUUUUUUGGUGUGGGAUGAGCUCGCGGCCUAUCAGGUUGUUCGUGGGGGAGUGGCCUACCAAGGCGGAGACGGGUAUCCGGCCUGAGAGAGUGAACGGCCAGUUUGGGCCUGAGCGACGGCCAGGAGUCCUACAGAAGGGAGAAGGGGGGAAAAUCGCACAAAGGGAGAAAGCGUGAGGGAGGGAGGCCGUGUGGGGGAUGAGGGCCUUCGGGUGGUAAGAUCCUCUGGAGGGGAACAAAGCGUUUUUGUGACGGUACCUGGAGAAGAAGCACCGGCUAACUACGUG